GGAGAGGUGCCAGAGUGGCCGAAUGGGGCGGUCUCGAAAACCGUUGAGGGGUUUCCCCUCCGAGGGUUCGAAUCCCUCCCUCUCCG
rnacentral:tRNA from 1 species